rnacentral:rRNA from 1 species
GAUGAACGCUGGCGGCGUGCCUAAUACAUGCAAGUCGAGCGAACGGACGAGAAGCUUUCUUCUCUGAUGUUAGCGGCGGACGGGUGAGUAACUCGUGGAUAACCUACCUAUAAGACUGGGAUAACUUCGGGUAACCGGAGCUAAUAACGGAUAAUAUUUUGAACCGCAUGGUUCAAAAGUGAAAGACGGUCUUGCUGUCACUAAUAGAUGGAUCCGCGCUGCAUUAGCUAGUUGGUAAGGUAACGGCUUACCAAGGCAACGAUGGAUAGCCGACCUGAGAGGGUGAUCGGCAACACGGGAGCUGAGAAACGGACCACACUCCUACGGGAGGCAGCAGCAGGGAAUCUUACGGAAUGGGCGAAAGCCGAACGUAGCAACGCGGGGUAAAUGAUGAACAUCUACGGCUCGUAGAGCUCUGAUGUUAGGGGAGUACAUAUGUUUAAUUACCUGUGCACAUCUUGACGGUACCUAAUCAGAAAGCCACGGCUAACUACGUG